GUCACUUAAACUUAAAGCCGGCGAAGGUGAAGCACAUCUCCACUUCCUUAAGAGGGAGCCAAACCCUGAAGAAAGCAGGAGCCCCUCUCUCUCUCUUUUCUGGGCUCUCUUUCUCGUCUUUAUGGUUGAGAUAAAGCCAUCCUAUGGGUAAGACGCCUCUGCGGGAAUGGCCAACCCAAAGACCACUCUAGAGUCACGUGGAUAGCGUCUGUUCAAUUACUGGUUGCCUUAGAUGAAGGCCGUCCCUCUGCUCCUGCCUCCUCCUUUAACAUGCGACCCGCGCGAGCCGUCGCUCCUUUCCGUCCAGCACUUUCUCUGGGUCUCGGGCGUGUUCGGGCGGCGUGAGAGCCGUUCUUGGCGCAUGCGCGCCCCACGACCUCCACCGUCCUUCCCCCUGCCCUUGUAAAAGCUGCUAAUAAAAAGGUUUCUACGGUCACA